AGAGUUUGAUCCUGGCUCAGGAUGAACGCUAGCUACAGGCUUAACACAUGCAAGUCGAGGGGAAACGGCAUUGAGUGCUUGCACUCUUUGGACGUCGACCGGCGCACGGGUGAGUAACGCGUAUCCAACCUUCCCAUUACUGUGGGAUAACCUGCCGAAAGGCAGACUAAUACCGCAUAGUCUUCGAUGACGGCAUCAGAUUUGAAGUAAAGAUUUAUCGGUAAUGGAUGGGGAUGCGUCUGAUUAGCUUGUUGGCGGGGUAACGGCCCACCAAGGCUACGAUCAGUAGGGGUUCUGAGAGGAAGGUCCCCCACAUUGGAACUGAGACACGGUCCAAACUCCUACGGGAGGCAGCAGUGAGGAAUAUUGGUCAAUGGGCGAGAGCCUGAACCAGCCAAGUAGCGUGCAGGAUGACGGCCCUAUGGGUUGUAAACUGCUUUUGUAUGGGGAUAAAGUUAGGGACGUGUCCCUAUUUGCAGGUACCAUACGAAUAAGGACCGGCUAAUUCCGUGCCAGCAGCCGCGGUAAUACGGAAGGUCCAGGCGUUAUCCGGAUUUAUUGGGUUUAAAGGGAGCGUAGGCCGGAGAUUAAGUGUGUUGUGAAAUGUAGACGCUCAACGUCUGACUUGCAGCGCAUACUGGUUUCCUUGAGUACGCACAACGUUGGCGGAAUUCGUCGUGUAGCGGUGAAAUGCUUAGAUAUGACGAAGAACUCCGAUUGCGAAGGCAGCUGACGGGAGCGCAACUGACGCUUAAGCUCGAAGGUGCGGGUAUCGAACAGGAUUAGAUACCCUGGUAGUCCGCACAGUAAACGAUGGAUGCCCGCUGUUGGUACCUGGUAUCAGCGGCUAAGCGAAAGCAUUAAGCAUCCCACCUGGGGAGUACGCCGGCAACGGUGAAACUCAAAGGAAUUGACGGGGGCCCG
rnacentral:rRNA from 1 species